GGUCAAUAGGUCAUAAUAGAGCAGACCUCAAUAGGUCAUAAUAGAGUAGAGGUCAAUAGGUCAUAAUAGAGCAGACCUCAAUAGGUCAUAAUAUAGUAGAGGUCAAUAGGUCAUGAUAGAGCAGACCUCAAUAGGUCAUGAUAGAGUAGAGGUCAAUAGGUCAUAACAUAGUAGAGGUCAAUAGGUCAUAAUAGAGCAGACCUCAAUAGGUCAUAAUAGAGUAGACCUCAAUAGGUCAUAAUAUAGUAGAGGUC